GGUGGUCUCGGCCCGGUUGCCCCGAUGAUGAAACCAAGGCGAAUACGAGCUGAGUUGAACAACAGCUGGCUGCUUCUUGCCUCAACCGGCGGGUAAUCUUGGCAGUGUAAGGGAGCCUCGUUGCUCUGCUGUAAGGGCCCACCGACAGUAACGUGGCUCCACCACUAGGGCUCCCGUGAAAGUUACAUUGGAGUAAUUGUGUGGAUGAAGCCCACAGUUUGUGUGCGUUUGUGUGUGCGCCUGAAGUUCAGCCCAGCUGUUUUCACUGUUCGGUCAGCAAUGAGUUGCGUCUUUGGUAAUCUGAGGGCCAAAUACGUGUUGGGUUUUA